GAUGAACGCUGGCGGCGUGCCUAAUACAUGCAAGUCGAGCGAACAGAUGAGGAGCUUGCUCCUCUGACGUUAGCGGCGGACGGGUGAGUAACACGUGGAUAACCUACCUAUAAGACUGGUAUAACUUCGGGAAACCGGCGCUAAUACCGGAUAAUAUAUUGAACCGCAUGGUUCAAUAGUGAAAGACGGUUUUGCUGUCACUUAUAGAUGGAUCCGCGCCGCAUUAGCUAGUUGGUACGGUAACGGCUUACCAAGGCAACGAUGCGUAGCCGACCUGAGAGGGUGAUCGGCCACACUGGAAGGGAGACACGGUCCAGACUCCUACGGGAGGCAGCAGUAGGGAACCUGCCGCAAUGGGCGAGAGCUUGACGGAGCAACGCCGCGUGAGUGAUGACGAUCUUCGGAUCGUAAAACUCGGUUAUUAGGGAAGAACAAAUGUGUAAGUAGCUAUGCACGUCUUGACGGUACCGAAUCAGAAAGCCCCGGCUAACUACGUG
rnacentral:rRNA from 1 species